GAUGAACGCUGGCGGCGUGCCUAACACAUGCAAGUCGAGCGAACAGACGAGCAGUUUGCUCUUCUGACGUUAGCGGCGGACGGGUGAGUAACACGUGGAUAACUCCUCUAUAAGACUGGGAUAAGUUCGGGAAACCGUAGCUAAUACCGGAUAAUAUAUUGAACCGCAUGGUUCAAUAGUGAAAUACGGUUUUGCUGUCACUUAUAGAUGGAUCCGCUCGUAGUUAGGUGGUUGGUGGGGUAACGGCUUACCAAGUCACCGAUGGGUAGCCGACCUGAGAGGGGGAUCGGCCAAACUGGAACUGGAACACGGUCCGACCUCCAACGGGAGGAGGAGGUGGGGAAUCUUCCGAAAUGGGGGAAAGCCGGACGGAGAAACGCGGGGUGGGUGAGGAAGGGCUUCGGAUCGUAAACCGCUGUUAUUGGGAAAAAACAAAUGUGUAAGUAACUGUGCGGGUCUGAAGGGUACCGAAGAAGAAGGCCAGGGCAAAUAAGGU
rnacentral:rRNA from 1 species